rnacentral:rRNA from 1 species
AGUCGUGCGGUAACAGACAUAAAGAUUUAGCUUGCUAAAUCCGGUGCUGACGAGCGGCGAACGGGUGAGUAACACGUAGGAAUCUACCCAGUAGCGGGGGAUAGCCCAGGGAAACUUGGAUUAAUACCGCAUACGCCCUAAGGGGAAAAGAAGGCCUCUCUUUGAAGCUUUCACUAUUGGAUGAGCCUGCGUAAGAUUAGCUUGUUGGUGGGGUAAAGGCCUACCAAGGCAACGAUCUUUAGCUGGUCUGAGAGGACGAUCAGCCACAUUGGGACUGAGACACGGCCCAGACUUCUACGGAAGGCAGCAGUUAGGAAUAUUGGACAAUGGGGGCAACCCUGAUCCAGCUAUACCGCGUGUGUGAAGAAGGCCCUAGGGUUGUAAAGCACUUUAAGCAGGGAAGAAGUAUAUUAAGUUAAUACCUUAAUAUAUUGACGUUACCUGAAGAAUAAGGACCGGCUAACUCCGUGCCAGCAGCCGCGGUAAUACGGAGGGUCCAAGCGUUAAUCGGAAUUACUGGGCGUAAAGCGCGCGUAGGCGGUUUAAUAAGUUGUAUGUGAAAGCCCUGGGCUCAACCUAGGAACUGCAUACAAAACUAUUAAGCUUGAGGACGAGAGAGGAGAGUAGAAUUUCAGGUGUAGCGGUGAAAUGCGUAGAUAUCUGAAGGAAUACCAAUGGCGAAGGCAGCUCUCUGGCUCGUUUCUGACGCUGAGGUGCGAAAGCGUGGGUAGCAAACAGGAUUAGAUACCCUGGUAGUCCACGCCGUAAACGAUGAUAACUAGCCGUUGGGCAGAUUUAACUGUUCAGUGGCACAGCUAACGCAUUAAGUUAUCCGCCUGGGGAGUACGGCCGCAAGGCUAAACUCAAAUGAAUUGACGGGGGCCCGCACAAGUGGUGGAGCAUGUGGUUUAAUUCGAUGCAACGCGAGAACCUUACCAACCUUUGAAAUCCAGAGAAGUCACAGAGAUGGAGAUGUGCCUUCGGGAACUCUGUGACAGGUGUUGCAUGGCUGUCGUCAGCUCG